UAGGAAAUUUAAGACUAGCUAAGUACUAGUCUUCCCCUAAAAUAGGAUUUCCAAAUUAGAGCUUCCCAUAAAUUCCAAUCCUACUCUCCAUUGCUCCCAGGUUUCUUGCUCCCUUCUCCUUGCCAUAGCUCAUUAUCUUCCUCUGGGUUAUUAAUGUGCUCCAUCCAUGGUUGUGGAAGUGUUGUAUCAUCUAACAAAGAUGUGAAAUCCGGUGGAGGUGUUUGUAGUUCAAGAUGAACUUUUUGCUAGGAUUUAACCAUGACACUCCUCCUGAAGGCUUUGAACGACAUUCUGGAUCGAGUCUGCACUUUCAGUGUUUUAUCGGUUUGAAUUCCCUAUUUUUCUGGUCUUUUUUUGUGAGUUGAGAUAGCUCUAGGCUAGAAAGCUUUAAUACAACUACAUUGGCUCUUAGAAGACAAAACUCUGAUCUAUACAUAUUAUCGUUGUGUAUUUCUGAUUUGUAAUUACACUUAGCUUAGCUUGUUGGGUUAAUCCUCCUUGUUUUAAUUCUCAAUGAC